GAUGAAGAACGUAGCGAUAUGCGAUAAGUAAUGUGAAUUGCAGAAUUCAGUGAAUCAUCGAAUCUUUGAACGCACAUUGCGCCCGCCAGCACUCUGGCGGGCAUGCCUGUUCGAGCGUCAUUUCAACCAUCAAGCCCCCAGGGGCUUGUGCUGGGGCCCUGCGGCUGCCCGCAGGCCCUGAAAACCAGUGGCGGGCUCGCUAGUCACACCGAGCGCAGUAGCACAUCUCGCUCAGGGCGUGCGGCGGGCUCCUGCCGUGAAACCCCCCACUGUAACCCCAAAGGUUGACCUCGGAUCAGGUAGGAAUACCCGCUGAACUUAAGCAUAUCAAUAAGCGGAGGA
rnacentral:misc_RNA from 1 species